AUUGAACGCUGGCGGCAUGCCUUACACAUGCAAGUCGAACGGCAGCGCGGGAGCAAUCCUGGCGGCGAGUGGCGAACGGGUGAGUAGUGCAUCGGAACGUGCCCAGUUGUGGGGGAUAGCCCGGCGAAAGCCGGAUUAAUACCGCAUACGACCUGAGGGUGAAAGCGGGGGACCUGGCAAAGGGCCUCGCGCGAUUUGAGCGGCCGAUGUCAGAUUAGGUUGUUGGUGGGGUAAAGGCCUACCAAGCCUGCGAUCUGUAGCUAGUCUGAGAGGACGACCAGCCACACUGGGACUGAGACACGGCCCAGACUCCUACGGGAGGCAGCAGUGGGGAAUUUUGGACAAUGGGCGCAAGCCUGAUCCAGCCAUGCCGCGUGCGGGAAGAAGGCCUUCGGGUUGUAAACCGCUUUUGUCGGGGAAGAAACGGCCUGGGAUAAUACCUUGGGCUAAUGACGGUACCCGAAGAAUAAGCACCGGCUAACUACGUGCCAGCCGCCGCCGUAA
rnacentral:rRNA from 1 species